ensembl:misc_RNA Metazoa_SRP Metazoan signal recognition particle RNA
GUCAGGGGCAGUAGCAUGCACCUAUAGUCCCAGCUACUUGGGAGGCUGGGGCAGGAGGAUCGCUUGAGGCCAGGAGUCUGGGGCUGCAGUGUGCCAUGAUUGUACCUGUGAAUAGCCACUGCACUCUAGCCUGGGCAACAGAGUGAGACCCUGUCUCUA